GCGUUGCUUUUGAUGGCCUUAGCCUUGCCGGUAAGUAAUUGGACCCGCAAAAAACCCCGAUCAAAUGGGUAAUUAUUUGAACCUUUCAGGAAGUUACUUGGAUAGGGCAACACUGGAGAAGUCUAUGAAGUAAAGUAUACUGCCAAGGGCUACGGAUGUGCCCACACCAUUGAAGCUAACGGGAGGAAUCGCAACAUAUGGUUUGAUUUGGUCCCAGCAUUCGAGUUUACUUGAGCUCAGUGGCCGUUGAAUUUUCCGCCAAUGUCUACCCAAGUUUGCAAGCAGGGAUACGGGGCCAGUGACGAUCGCACUUUUAUAGUAUGUUCUCCGUGAAACUUCCGAAACGUGAAG
rnacentral:lncRNA from 1 species